GGGGCCAUAGCGUCAGCUGGGAGAGCGCCUGCUUUGCACGCAGGAGGUCAGGAGUUCGAUCCUCCUUGGCUCCACCA
rnacentral:tRNA from 1 species